GGAACAGACAAGUGAAGGAUAUGGCUUUUACAACUAGUUUCAUCAGUAGUGACAGACAAUGAAACCAUGAUCUAUCCUGACGCAUGUCACGGUACAAGUUGACACACAAAGCAUCCAGACAAAAGAAAACGGGCCAACUAAAGAAUAGUAGUUCAAAACUUAGAACAUAGAACAUAAAGAAAUUUAAAAGGUAGACAGCAACUUCUGCGAAGAGAUCAAAUGUAUGGCGAGCAACGCAUGCGCAUAUUGCCUUUACUCCCGCUAGACGAUCGGAAAAUGAACAGCUAUGUGUCCCCUUUACACAUUUGACCGGCCUGAUAAGAUGUGGCGUAGCACCACCCCUAUCAGUUAUCUCAAUGCGCAGAACAGUGGUCUGAUCUUGCAGCAUUCAUAAUGGGUUGCGCAUUUUAUCAAUGUCCUCACUGCACGAAAUUUUUAUUUUUGGUGCGUUGUCCAUCCGUCGGGCGAAAAUCUUGCUAUUUUGUACCCAAACGUAUUUCCAACCGGCCUCGCGCUUACAUGAAGUAGCCUGGCCUAGCAGACGUUUCAGCUCUGGGCACAAAUGCUCGUUAACAAAGAAUGGUGCCUGGGAGUCCAAACCUAGGUCAGAACACUUCAGCCGAGCAGCACGCGCUUUCUCGAGAAAGCAAUCCCGUUUGUGCCUCCGCACAAACUGGACUACUACAUUCUUUUUUCUUGGAUCUUUGGCAGUCGGCACUCUGUGCACAGACUCGAUAUCUGCCGCAACAAGCGCAACACCUAUUUUUUCUCCAAUUUUCAUUACUGUUUCAGCGAGGUUUUCGCUGUCGUUACACGGGAUGCCUUUGAGCUCUACAUUUGCAUUGCGGGAGUAUUGUUCAAGGUGUAGCAUUCUGCUCUCGUGAUUUUUCACCUGUUGAACAAGAUCAGCGCACUGUGCCUCUAGUUUAGCAUUCGUCGCCUUAAGUUCCUUGUUUGCAGCCUUCAUUUCUUCACAAUCAGCAUUUAUGGAAACCAAAGCGGCCUUAAUUUCCCUGAGUUCUUUUCGAAUAUCCCGCUCGAUUGUGUCUCUGAAGUCGUUGAAUUCAGCCCGGAUUUCACGCCUCAGUUCAUCGAAAAGGGCUCUGAUCUCUUUCGCCAUGCUUCAACAACAGAAAUAGGUAGUAACACACUUGUGGCAGCAACAGCAGCAGCAAAAAAGCAAAAAAUCCAGAAAACACACAGGAAUUGGGCACAAACCUGCGUGAAAAGGUGUGCAGCGUUUGAGUCCCGUGAACUUCGCUGCCGCUACCGCUGCCAAGUGAAGAACGGAGAUGUUGUUCGGUCAAUUUGUAGACUCAGGUUGCGGGGUUGGACCAAUGCGAAGCGAUGAUCCAGGCAGCGUCACAGUCAUACGAGGGCUGACGUAUGCUGGCCUUGCUCGAUGCAGUUGAAGAUUGCUUGACCUAUAUCAGGGCAUCGGAACCACCACAGCAAGCCGGACACGAAAGAUUCCAGUAGCCCUGCGUGAAAAGGUGUGCAGCGUUUGAGUCCCGUGAACUUCGCUGCCGCUACCGCUGCCAAGUGAUAUCGUUCCUCUAUUAAGUCAAUUGUAUUACUUUAGCCUUUGAAAGAAAACAGCCUAUUAUUAUUUGAUUCCUUUUGCUGGUACUCGUACGACGCAAUAGCUCACGGUCAAGAACUUUCCGACGCAUGAAGGUUUAGAAGGCUGUGCUGGGUGUGCAGAACUCAUCGCGUCCCUUCAUGGAAGAUUCCCCUGUCCCUGAAGCUGCAAGUUGUGCCCCCCACCAGUUGUUCUGCAAGCGUGUCCGGAGCGUGGCGUGACGUGACGUGGCGGACACGGCAGCGAUUUUCCUGAUUCCCCUGUCCCAGAAGGUGCAAGUUCUGCGCCCCACCAGUUUGUUCUGCAAGCGUGUCCGGAGCGUGGCGUGACGUGACGUGGCGGACAUGGCAGCGAUUUUCCUGGUAAAGCACCACUGUUAGCUGAGCCAAUCAACUGCGGCAUCAUCGGCGACGUCACAGCGCCAAAGCUUCAUAAACGAGUGCUUCGCGGGAGUUCGAUUCACUUGGCAGCAGCGACGACGCAUCUACUACAACGCUGAACGCCUGUCUGCAUUUUUGCCGCUGUAUGGUGUUUUAAGAUACUAUUGUACUAAUACUAUUGCAUACAAUUUACCGACGCUGCUGCCGGGUUUCAUUAUUUUGUUUUAUUUGCUUUUCUUUGCUUUGUUCUUUGCUUUGUGGAGUGCAUAUUUUGUGUUGAUAAGGUAUGGCUAAGGAAAUAGCUAAACUAAGAGAGGAAAUGAAAGCUGAGCUCACUCAACUGAAACAGGAAUUUAGGGAUCAACUAAAGCAGUAUCGUGAGGCAUUGGAAAGGGACAUGCGCAAUGAGAUUCGAGAAAUCAAAAUAGAGCACAAAAUUCAAAUUCAGAGCAUUGAGUUUCGUCACGCCUAUGUUGAAGAACUGAAGACAAGACUGAAUGCUGAAGAAACUGCAAGACGAAAACUAGAAAAUGAAAAUAUAGUGCUUCAAGAAAGAUGCAACUCCCUCGAACGCAGGGCCGGAGAACUUGAAAAACGCUUUGUGCACUCGGAGCAGUACUUGAGAAACAAAAAUCUCGAAAUGCAAGGCGUCGUCAAAAAAGAUAAUGAGAAUGUGCUGGACACCGUUCUGAUGAUCGGGAACGUUAUCAAAGGAGAAAUUGUUGACACUGACAUUGAAAUAUGUCACCGUGUACCCACCCGAGACCCAGAAAAAUCGAAUAUCAUUGUGCAGUUUAAAUCAGGGACCAAGCCCGAUGCUGUGCUUAACAAGGCGAAGAGUGCACGUCUUUCUAAGAAGGAUAUUGGAAAUGAUAACAUUCACAAUAUUUACGUGAACGAGCACCUAUGCCCUACCCUAAAGCAACUACUUGGAAUCGCUAUCGGUAGAAAACGUGACCAUGGAUGGAAGUCCGUCUGGUCGUAUUAUGGCAGGAUAUUCGCGAGGCAGUCUGACGACACACCCAGUGUAAGAAUACAGCAUCACGAAGACCUUUCGAAGAUAUGCUAAAUGUUGUGUUAAAACUUGUACUUUCUGUUCAAGAUGGAAUAUUUUGAAUUUGCGCUACCACAAAACUUUCAUCUACAAGAUACCAAGCUUAUCUCUAUUUUGCAUUUCAAUUCCCGUUCCGCUAUUUACAAAAGUGACAGUAUCUCUUGUCUUCUCAAGCAAUUUUUUUUCCAGUUCGACGUCAUCAUGAUUUCUGAAACUUGGUUUCAAUAUAGCUACGACGUCGUCGGCCUGGAUGGAUAUACUUCUUUUUAUUUAAACCGUCAGAAUAGGCGAGCGGGUGGCGUUGCCCUUUAUACUAAAAAUUAUUACCAUUACGAAGUGAUGCCAGAGUUUACAUUCAUUAUUCUUGACUGCGAGAUGUUAACUGUCAAGGACAAGAAAAGGGUCUUAUCAGUAAUAUACCGCGCUCCGAGCGGAAGUAUUGAGAAUUUCAUUGGUUGUUUUGGUAAGGUACUGGAGUUCUGUUCAUUUAAUAAUGUUCAUUUUGUCUGUGGAGGCGACUUCAACAUAAAUAUUUUACAUAAAAAUAAGCAUGUGCAGGAUUUAAACAAUCUACUACUAUCAUUUGGCUUUACCAAUCUGAUCACUACAGCAACGAGGGUUACUCAAUCUACCUCAUCUGCCCUCGACCUUCUUAUUACAAAUAUAGAAACCUCAGUCUGCACCGCGGGUACACUUUCUAAUGAUAUUAGUGAUCACUGCCCAGUCUUUAUAGUGUACGCAUUAGAUAACAGUAUCAAACAAAACAUUGAAUUACUUACCUACCAACACAUUUCUAACGAAGCACUGGAUUUAUUCAGUCUAGCUGUAGGCACGCAAGACUGGGAUUCCGUGUUAAGAGAAAAAAAUGUUAACGAAGUGUAUAACAAGUUUCUUGAACUAUUUCUGCGCAUCUACACUGCGCAUUUCCCCUUCAGACAAGUUAGGAAAUCAAAAAAGAUACGAAAACCGUGGAUUAUGAGUGAGCACAUCAAAAUGAUAAAAAAGGAGAACCGGCCUUAUCAUGCAUUCUUGCACUCGAGACCAGAAAUUAAACUUAAGGAAUUCAAAACCGAAAGAAAAAAAACUGAAUAAAAUACUAAGGCAGGCAGAAACAGAUUACUGUCAACGUCUGUUUUUCGAAAUCGACAAGAAACGUCUGGAUGCGGUUUGGAUAAUAAUAAAUAACGUUCUAGGUCGUCAAACUAAAAGUAGUGUACCCAAGUCGAUGAGCUACGCAAAUUGCGAAUUGAUCGGUAGAGCACUGGCAGACCAUUUCAAUAAUCAUUUUGUGAAUGCAAGCGUUACGCACACCCAUGACUCCCAAGUCAUGGAUUCACUAGAUAAAUGUGUUUCAGAAACUAUAUUUAUGGAGUCAACUGACGAACAUGAGGUGUUUACAACAAUAAAAAAUCUUAAUAACAGAGUUGCAUUGGAUAUUGACAAUUUACAAAUUAAGCCAAUAAAAUAUGUCUUACAUCACUUGCCAUUUAUCCGCACGUUGGUCCAUAUAAUAAAUAGCCAUAGAAUCGGCGACUUUCCCAGACGGCAUGAAACAAGCUAAAGUAUCUGUGCUAUACAAACAUGGUGAUAUAAAUAAUGUUUCAAGUUAUGGACCAAUAUCUGUCCUACCCAUUUUUUCCAAAGUGCUAGAAAAAAUUAUUGCUACGCGCCUAACAAUGUUUCUAGACAGAUAUGAUGUAGUAACAUACUCACAGUUUGGUUUUAGAAAAGGUAGAUCUACAGAAGCCGCCCUUUUAUCCUUGAAAGAAAGUAUUGUGCAAAGCAUAGACAACGGAGAAUUCGCCCUCGGGCUCUUCAUCGAUUUUAGCAAGCCAUUUGAUUCCAUCAGUCAUGACAUUCUUAAAUACAAACUAUCACACAUUGAGUACGCGGACAUCCACUCACUUUAAUGGAAUCAUAUCUCAGAAAUAGAGUUCAGUAUGUAUGUAUUAACAACGUCCUAUCUUCUUUCUUGACACCUAAAAAUGAAGUGCCGAAAGGGAGUGUUUUGGGCCCUCUAUUAUCUAACUUAUUUAUUAAUGACUUAGUAAAUUUGAUCCUACAGUUGAUUUCUUUAUAUAUGCGGAUGAUAGCACUAUACUCUUCUGUGGAAAAGACGCAAAUGAACUAAUUAUCUGGUGUAAUGCAUUGCUAAUGAAACUUACUGAUUGGUCACAUCCAAAUGUGAUCAGAAUUAUACCAAUAAAACGAAAGCUAUGCUUUUCAGAGCCAUAAACAAACCUUUUCAGUUGGAACAUUCAAUCACUUAUUUAGGCAAACACAUAGAACUAGUUAAUGAACACAAAAUACUUGGAGUAAUAUUUUCACGUCAUUUGAGUUGGGAUGCUCAUUUUAAUAACCUUCGAAGCAAGUUUUCUGCAGUCGCCGGUUUACUAUCUCGUCGUAGAGCUUACAUGCCGACAAAAGCCAAGCUACAAACCUAUCAUGCAUUUUUCAUCCCGCAAUUUAAUUAUUGCAGUUUAGUAUGGGCAACGACAGCACGAACGAACAUAAAUAAAAUAGUUACAUUAGAAAAGGCACUUUUCCGACACAUUGCUAGUAUUGAAGCCAGAUCAACCACAAAAACAUCAUCACAAACAUACCAAAUCAUAUGGGUAGAUCGGUACUACGAAUAUCGUCUUUUGCAAAUGUUUUAUUUUGCAAGAAAAGAAUGGAGAGAUUUUCUUGCAUCACUAGUGACCUUGCAGCACCAUGACAUACCUGCGCAUUUCAGAAAUCCUGAACCUUGGCUUGUACCGCGCUUUCGCACCGAGUAUAUGUUACAAUCUAUUAAACACAAUUUGCCGAAAAUUCUAAAUAAUCAUGUUCACGCUAAUAAAUUCUCUCGUAAAGAGUUGAAGAUGUGUUUCGUUAACCUAUAAUAUAUAUAUUCAUGUAUAACGAUGCAUAUAAAUGACCAUGUUCUUAUUUUUUGCCUUUUUGUCUUACUUGUACCAAAAUGUCUUGUUGUUUCUUACAUAAGCAUGCAUCUGAGUUUUCAAUUUUAUGUUUAGUUUAUGUUUAGUAAACUUCUGCUUAAGGUUUUUUGUACCAAAAAGGUUACUGUUAUCGCGCUGUCAUGUAUAACGCCUCCUGCGUCCAG